GACGAACGCUGGCGGCGUGCUUAACACAUGCAAGUCGAACGGAAAGGCCCUGCUUUUGUGGGGUGCUCGAGUGGCGAACGGGUGAGUAACACGUGAGUAACCUGCCCUUGACUUUGGGAUAACUUCAGGAAACUGGGGCUAAUACCGGAUAGGAGCUCCUGCUGCAUGGUGGGGGUUGGAAAGUUUCGGCGGUUGGGGAUGGACUCGCGGCUUAUCAGCUUGUUGGUGGGGUAGUGGCUUACCAAGGCUUUGACGGGUAGCCGGCCUGAGAGGGUGACCGGCCACAUUGGGACUGGGAUACGGCCCAGACUCCUACGGGAGGCAGCAGUGGGGACUAUUGCACAAUGGGCGGAAGCCUGAUGCAGCAACGCCGCGUGCGGGAUGACGGCCUUCGGGUUGUAAACCGCUUUCGCCUGUGACGAAGCGUGAGUAACGGUAAUGGGUAAAGAAGCACCGGCUAUCUACGU
rnacentral:rRNA from 1 species